rnacentral:tRNA from 1 species
CCCAGGUUAGCUCAGUUGGUAGAGCGCUCCAGUGGAGAUGGAGAGGUCCGUGGUUCGAUCCCACCAGGCG